UACGAAGGGGGCUAGCGUUGCUCGGAAUCACUGGGCGUAAAGCGCACGUAGGCGGAUUGUUAAGUCAGGGGUGAAAUCCUGGAGCUCAACUCCAGAACUGCCUUUGAUACUGGCGAUCUUGAGUCCGGGAGAGGUGAGUGGAACUGCGAGUGUAGAGGUGAAAUUCGUAGAUAUUCGCAAGAACACCAGUGGCGAAGGCGGCUCACUGGCCCGGUACUGACGCUGAGACGCGAAAGCCAGGGGAGCAAACGGG
rnacentral:rRNA from 1 species